AAUCCAUAGGUUAAUGAGGCGAACCGGGGGAACUGAAACAUCUAAGUACCCCGAGGAAAAGAAAUCAACCGAGAUUCCCCCAGUAGCGGCGAGCGAACGGGGAGGAGCCCAGAGCCUGAAUCAGCAUGUGUGUUAGUGGAAGCGUCUGGAAAGGCGCGCGAUACAGGGUGACAGCCCCGUACACAAAAGCGCAUGUGCUGUGAGCUCGAUGAGUAGGGCGGGACACGUGGUAUCCUGUCUGAAUAUGGGGGGACCAUCCUCCAAGGCUAAAUACUCCUGACUGACCGAUAGUGAACCAGUACCGUGAGGGAAAGGCGAAAAGAACCCCGGCGAGGGGAGUGAAAAAGAACCUGAAACCGUGUACGUACAAGCAGUGGGAGCACAGGUUUACCUGUGUGACUGCGUACCUUUUGUAUAAUGGGUCAGCGACUUAUAUUCUGUAGCAAGGUUAACCGAAUAGGGGAGCCGGAGGGAAACCGAGUCUUAAUUGGGCGUUAAGUUGCAGGGUAUAGACCCGAAACCCGGUGAUCUAGCCAUGGGCAGGUUGAAGGUUGGGUAACACUAACUGGAGGACCGAACCGACUAAUGUUGAAAAAUUAGCGGAUGACCUGUGGCUGGGGGUGAAAGGCCAAUCAAACCGGGAGAUAGCUGGUUCUCCCCGAAAGCUAUUUAGGUAGCGCCUCGUGAAUUCAUCUCCGGGGGUAGAGCACUGUUUCGGCUAGGGGGCCAUCCCGGCUUACCAACCCGAUGCAAACUGCGAAUACCGGAGAAUGUUAUCACGGGAGACACACGGCGGGUGCUAACGUCCGUCGUGAAGAGGGAAACAACCCAGACCGCCAGCUAAGGUCCCAAAGUCAUGGUUAAGUGGGAAACGAUGUGGGAAGGCCCAGACAGCCAGGAUGUUGGCUUAGAAGCAGCCAUCAUUUAAAGAAAGCGUAAUAGCUCACUGGUCGAGUCGGCCUGCGCGGAAGAUGUAACGGGGCUAAACCAUGCACCGAAGCUGCGGCAGCGAACGUAUCACUUAAAGCGAUUCAGCGGGUUACGAUUGACGGAGCGAAGCGACGUCAAAGCGUAUACAAAGUCGAGUCGGUUUAAGGAUACGUUCGUUGGGUAGGGGAGCGUUCUGUAAGCCUGUGAAGGUGGCCUGUGAGGGUUGCUGGAGGUAUCAGAAGUGCGAAUGCUGACAUAAGUAACGAUAAAGCGGGUGAAAAGCCCGCUCGCCGGAAGACCAAGGGUUCCUGUCCAACGUUAAUCGGGGCAGGGUGAGUCGACCCCUAAGGCGAGGCCGAAAGGCGUAGUCGAUGGGAAACAGGUUAAUAUUCCUGUACUUGGUGUUACUGCGAAGGGGGGACGGAGAAGGCUAUGUUGGCCGGGCGACGGUUGUCCCGGUUUAAGCGUGUAGGCUGGUUUUCCAGGCAAAUCCGGAAAAUCAAGGCUGAGGCGUGAUGACGAGGCACUACGGUGCUGAAGCAACAAAUGCCCUGCUUCCAGGAAAAGCCUCUAAGCAUCAGGUAACAUCAAAUCGUACCCCAAACCGACACAGGUGGUCAGGUAGAGAAUACCAAGGCGCUUGAGAGAACUCGGGUGAAGGAACUAGGCAAAAUGGUGCCGUAACUUCGGGAGAAGGCACGCUGACACGUAGGUGAAGUGAUUUACUCAUGGAGCUGAAGUCAGUCGAAGAUACCAGCUGGCUGCAACUGUUUAUUAAAAACACAGCACUGUGCAAACACGAAAGUGGACGUAUACGGUGUGACGCCUGCCCGGUGCCGGAAGGUUAAUUGAUGGGGUCAGCGCAAGCGAAGCUCCUGAUCGAAGCCCCGGUAAACGGCGGCCGUAACUAUAACGGUCCUAAGGUAGCGAAAUUCCUUGUCGGGUAAGUUCCGACCUGCACGAAUGGCGUAAUGAUGGCCAGGCUGUCUCCACCCGAGACUCAGUGAAAUUGAACUCGCUGUGAAGAUGCAGUGUACCCGCGGCAAGACGGAAAGACCCCGUGAACCUUUACUAUAGCUUGACACUGAACAUUGAGCCUUGAUGUGUAGGAUAGGUGGGAGGCUUUGAAGUGUGGACGCCAGUCUGCAUGGAGCCGACCUUGAAAUACCACCCUUUAAUGUUUGAUGUUCUAACGUGGACCCGUAAUCCGGGUUGCGGACAGUGUCUGGUGGGUAGUUUGACUGGGGCGGUCUCCUCCUAAAGAGUAACGGAGGAGCACGAAGGUUGGCUAAUCCUGGUCGGACAUCAGGAGGUUAGUGCAAUGGCAUAAGCCAGCUUGACUGCGAGCGUGACGGCGCGAGCAGGUGCGAAAGCAGGUCAUAGUGAUCCGGUGGUUCUGAAUGGAAGGGCCAUCGCUCAACGGAUAAAAGGUACUCCGGGGAUAACAGGCUGAUACCGCCCAAGAGUUCAUAUCGACGGCGGUGUUUGGCACCUCGAUGUCGGCUCAUCACAUCCUGGGGCUGAAGUAGGUCCCAAGGGUAUGGCUGUUCGCCAUUUAAAGUGGUACGCGAGCUGGGUUUAGAACGUCGUGAGACAGUUCGGUCCCUAUCUGCCGUGGGCGCUGGAGAACUGAGGGGGGCUGCUCCUAGUACGAGAGGACCGGAGUGGACGCAUCACUGGUGUUCGGGUUGUCAUGCCAAUGGCACUGCCCGGUAGCUAAAUGCGGAAGAGAUAAGUGCUGAAAGCAUCUAAGCACGAAACUUGCCCCGAGAUGAGUUCUCCCUGAGACUUAGAGUCUCCUGAAGGAACGUUGAAGACGACGACGUUGAUAGGCCGGGUGUGUAAGCGCAGCGAUGCGUUGAGCUAACCGGUACUAAUGAACCGUGAGGCUUAACCUUACAACGCCGAAG
rnacentral:rRNA from 1 species